rnacentral:rRNA from 1 species
UACGGGGGGGGCAAGCGUUGUUCGGAAUUACUGGGCGUAAAGGGCUCGUAGGCGGCCGACUAAGUCAUACGUGAAAUCCCUCGGCUUAACCGGGGAACUGCGUCUGAUACUGGAUGGCUUGAGUUCGGGAGAGGGAUGCGGAAUUCCAGGUGUAGCGGUGAAAUGCGUAGAUAUCUGGAGGAACACCGGUGGCGAAGGCGGCAUCCUGGACCGAUACUGACGCUGAGGAGCGAAAGCCAGGGGAGCAAACGGG